rnacentral:misc_RNA from 1 species
GCAUGGUCAUCUCCAGAUAAAAGCCUUUAAGAUGAAUAUUGGACUGGAUCUCUUGAUUAUAGGAGGCCUACAUUAGGUUAUUGUACCUUUAUUGGUGGUAAUCUCUUUACUUGGACACGCAAGGAACAAAAUGUGACAACUAGAUCAAGUGCUGGAGUAGAAUAUAGGGCUAUCGCACAAAGCAUCUAUGAGCUAUUGUAGUUGCGGAAAUUGAUG